rnacentral:rRNA from 1 species
GACGAACGCUGGCGGCGUGCCUAAUACAUGCAAGUAGAACGCUGAAGGAGGAGCUUGCUUCUCUGGAUGAGUUGCGAACGGGUGAGUAACGCGUAGGUAACCUGCCUGGUAGCGGGGGAUAACUAUUGGAAACGAUAGCUAAUACCGCAUAAUAGUAGAUGUUGCAUGACAUUUGCUUAAAAGGUGCAAUUGCAUCACUACCAGAUGGACCUGCGUUGUAUUAGCUAGUUGGUGAGGUAACGGCUCACCAAGGCAACGAUACAUAGCCGACCUGAGAGGGUGAUCGGCCACACUGGGACUGAGACACGGCCCAGACUCCUACGGGAGGCAGCAGUAGGGAAUCUUCGGCAAUGGGCGGAAGUCUGACCGAGCAACGCCGCGUGAGUGAAGAAGGUUUUCGGAUCGUAAAGCUCUGUUGUAAGGGAAGAACGAGUGUGAGAGUGGAAAGUUCACACUGUGACGGUAUCUUACCAGAAAGGGACGGCUAACUACGUG